rnacentral:rRNA from 1 species
AUUGAACGCUGGCGGCAGGCCUAACACAUGCAAGUCGGGCGAGCGGCGGACGGGUGAGUAAUGUAGGGGGAUCUGCCUGAUGGAGGGGGAUAACUACUGGAAACGGUAGCUAAUACCGCAUACCAUCAGAUGAACCCAUAUGGGAUUGGCUUGUAGGUAAGGUAACGGCUUACCUAGGCGACGAUCCCUAGCUGGUCUGAGAGGAUGAUCAGCCACACUGGGCGUGGGACAGGGCGCAGAGUCUUACGGGGGGAAGGAGUGGGAAGUAUUGCACAGUGGGCGGAAGCCUCGUGAAGCCAUGCCGGUUGUAUGAGGGAGGCCUACGGGUUAUAAAGUACUUUCAGACGGGCGGCGGUAGCGAUAGAGGAAGCUCCGGCUAACUCCGUGCCAGCAGCCGCGGUAAUUC